GUGGUGCAGCAGGCGCGAAAACUUUACAAUGCCGGCAACAGCGAUAAGGGAACCUCGAGUGCCAGGUUACAAAUCUGGCUGUCGUGAUGCCUAAAAAGCAUUGCAUAGCAAGGGCCGGGCAAGACCGGUGCCAGCCGCCGCGGUAACACCGGCGGCUCGAGUGGUAACCGUUAUUAUUGGGUCUAAAGGGUCUGUAGCCGGCCGGAUAAGUUUCUUGGGAAAUCUGGCAGCUUAACUGUCAGGCUUUCAGGAGAUACUGUCUGGCUCGAGGCCGGGAGAGGUGAGAGGUACUUCAGGGGUAGGGGUGAAAUCUUGUAAUCCUUGGAGGACCACCAGUGGCGAAGGCGUCUCACCAGAACGGACCUGACGGCAAGGGACGAAAGCUAGGGGCGCGAACCGGAUUAGAUACCCGGGUAGUCCUAGCUGUAAAGGAUGCGCGGGAGGGUGAGGGGGAGGGCGGGCAGGGAGGGGAGGAAUGGAGGGGAGC
rnacentral:rRNA from 1 species